rnacentral:rRNA from 1 species
AAACUUUCAACAACGGAUCUCUUGGUUCUGGCAUCGAUGAAGAACGCAGCGAAAUGCGAUAAUUAAUGUGAAUUGCAUACUCAGUGAAUCAUCGAAUCUUUGAACGCACAUUGCGCCCUCUGGUAUUCCGGGGGGCAUGCCUGUUCGAGCGUCAUUA